AGCGAACGCUGGCGGCAGGCCUAACACAUGCAAGUCGAGCGCCCCGCAAGGGGAGCGGCAGACGGGAGAGUAACACGUGGGAACGUACCCUUCGGUUCGGAACAACCCAGGGAAACUAGGGCUAAUACCGAAUACGUCCGACAGGAGAAAGAUUUAUCGCCGAGGGAUCGGCCCGCGUCUGAUUAGCUAGUUGGUGGGGUAAUGGCCCACCAAGGCGACGAUCAGUAGCUGGUCUGAGAGGAUGAUCAGCCUCACUGGGACUGAGACACGGCCCAGACUCCUACGGGAGGCAGCAGUGGGGAAUAUUGGACAAUGGGCGCAAGCCUGAUCCAGCCAUGCCGCGUGGGUGAUGAAGGCCCUAGGGUUGUAAAGCCCUUUCGGCGGGGAAGAUAAUGACGGUACCCGCAGAAGAAGCCCCGGCUAACUUCGUGCCAGCAGCCGCCGUAAAAC
rnacentral:rRNA from 1 species